rnacentral:rRNA from 1 species
CGCGUGGAGGAAGAAGCCCUUAGGGUUGUAAACUCACGUUAAAAAGCCCCGGCUAACUACGUGCCAGCAGCAGCGGUCAUACGUAGGGGGCGAGCGUUAUCCGGUAUUAUUUGGCGUAAAGGGUGCGUAGGCGUUCCUUCAAGUCUUUGGUAAAAUCUUUCGACUCAAUCGAGAAACCGCCAAAAGAUACUGUCGGAAUUGAGAAAUAUAGGGGAAAGCGGAAUUCGUGGUGGAGCAGUGAAAUGCUUUGAUAUCACGAGGAACACCUAAGGGCGAGGCAGCUUUCUGGGUAUUUUCUGACGCUGAGGCACGAAAGCGUGGGUAGCGAAAGGGAUUAGAUACCCCUGUAGUCCACGCCGUAAACGAUGCUCGCUAGGUAUGUGGUCUUCGGAUUGCGUGCCAAAGUUAACGCGUUAAGCGAGCCGCCUGGGGAGUACGAUCGCAAGAUUAAAACUCAAAGGAAUUGACGGGGACCCGCACAAGCGGUGGAGCAUGUGGUUUAAUUCGAUGAUAAUCGAAGAACCUUACCAGGGCUUGACAUGUAACUGCAAAUCCUGCGAAAGCAGGACGUCCUUCGAGGGUGUUACGCAGGUGUUGCAUGGCUGUCGUCAGCUCGAGUCGUGAGAUGUAGGGUUAAGUCCCUUAUCGAGCGCAACCCUUGCCGUAUGUUAGAAAUGUCAUACGGGACUGCCUCGGAUAACGGGGAGGAAGGUGAGGAUGACGUCAAGUCGGUAUUGCCCUUAUGUCCUGGGCGACACACGUGCUACAAUGGCCGGUACAACGGGUUGCUAAGCCGCAAGGCGGAGCUAAUCCUUUAAAACCGGUCUCAGUUCGGAUUGGAGUCUGCAACUCGACUCCAUGAAGUUGGAAUCGCUAGUAAUCGCAGGUCAGCCACACUGCGGUGAAUACGUUCUCGGGUCUUGUACACACCGCCCGUCAACUGGGGAAAGUUGGGGGUACCCGAAGUAUCUUCUUUAGAAGGUCCUAAGGUGAACUCAAUGAUCAACAGUAAGUCGUAACAAGGUAG